rnacentral:rRNA from 1 species
CACGUAGGGGGCAAGCGUUGUCCGGAUUUAUUGGGCGUAAAGAGCUCGUAGGUGGUUCGGUAAGUCGGGUGUUAAACCCCCAGGCUCAACCUGGGGACGCCACUCGAUACUGCUGUGACUAGAGUGCUGUAGGGGAGACUGGAAUUCCUGGUGUAGCGGUGGAAUGCGCAGAUAUCAGGAGGAACACCGAUGGCGAAGGCAGGUCUCUGGGCAGUUACUGACGCUGAGGAGCGAAAGCAUGGGGAGCGAACAGG